rnacentral:lncRNA from 1 species
AUGUUUAAAUUCUUAAAAAAUUAUUAUAGUAGAAGGCACACUGACAUUAGUACUCCCCUGGCUGCACCCUUAUCCUGUCACUCUUGCCGCCACCUACAGCAGUCCCGGAAGUCGUCGUCUUUCAUGAGUGUCUUUCAAGUUGCGAUUAAAAAAAAAAAAAAGAAAAAAAAUACAGCGAACGCUUCUUCUGGGUGCCAUCCAAAGGAAAGGCAAGUUUAUACAAACUUUAUCGUGCACCUUUGUCCACCUCAUUCGCUGGAUCUGGCACCAAGUGACUUCUGGCUCUUCUUCAAAGUCAAAAUCCCAAUGAAAGGUUUGUGGUGGACACUGAUAUGCUUUAUUGUAUGGCGUGCACUCUGAGGAAAAUCAGCAGCCGUGUUCUCAGCUGCUCUGUGGAAAGGCUUACAGGACAAGAAACCAAGGGAAUUCUUCAACCAACAGCCUAUAAAGCACCAAGUCCUACCAACAGCCGUGUGAGGGAGCUUGGAAGAGGAUCUUACACCAGGUGAGCAUCCACAGGAGACCUAAGCAGAGGGGUUGGGCUGGAGGUGCCCAGGGACUUCACACCUGGAUCCCUGAACAAGUAGAGUGAGGAAAUAAUGUGUGCUGUAAGGCAUUAGGCUUUGCGGUAAUUUGUUACACGUCAACAAGUAACUAUGACGAGGGGUUUAUUUACUGGAGGAAGAGGAGGGGCUACCAGUGGCGGUGAACUUAUGGCAUAUGGGCCACAGCCAGCUGUUUAUUAUUGGAAGCUCUGAAAGGAUUGCCACCUGUGGACUUUGGAUGGUUCUUGUGGAAGGUGAGAAACAGUGCAAAUGACUGGCAACUCAGUAGGGUUUCUGGGCAGUGGUGGACACCAAUUUGAGCUGAGCGACCAUGGUUUUCUAGUAGAAUGAGUCUGCUUUCUGCAAGAGGCAAUGAGGUUACUAUUUUAUUUUCUAAAGGAAAAUUCUAUUAUGUUUAGAUUGGCCAUGGGAAAUAGAACUCUCAUUUGAUCUUUUCAUGACAUCAUUGGGAAAAUUUAUCUUUUUAGCAUAUCUGCUGAGGGUCUGUGUAUUAAUCUAUUUUCUGUUGCUGUAACAAAAUACUUGCCCAGGGUGGUGGCAUGCACUUGUCAUCCUAGCACUGGGAAGGCUGAGGCAGGAGGAUCACUGCAAGUUCAAGACCAGUUUGAGCCACACAGUGAGUUCAAGGCCAGUCUGAACUACACAGUGAGGCCCUGUCUUGAAAAACCAAACCAAACCAAAAUACCUGAGAUUAGAUUAUGAGGAGAGAGGAGAGAGGCAGACCAUUUAGCUCACAUUUUAGAGACUGAAAGUCUGUGAUCAGUGGCCUCAUUUGCUGAGCUUUUGGUGCUGGCCUCACGGGAGCUAGGAGAGAUCACAUGGUGAGACUGGAAGCAGAGGGGCUGCUCUUUUGUAACUCGCUGUUGGGGCCCUAAAUAAGGUCCCACAAGAACUACGGUAACUCCCCAUCGCUGAAGCACCUCUCGCGAGGCUUCACCUCUUUCUAGUCCCACAGCCUCUCACUGCCAUACUGAGGACCGAGCUCCCAACACAUAAACCUUUCGGGGUCAAACUUGCCCCUCCAAACCACCGUAGCCCAUUAUUCACCAGAUAUUCUUUCCUUUUCUCCAGUGCUUGGGAUUAAACCGAAGGUGUGCUCUGCCACUGAGUUACAUUCCCAGACCUGUUUGUUUUUUUAUUUUGAGACAGACUCUUACUCAUUUGCCCAGGUUGGCUUCCAACGUGAGGCUCCUCUGCCUCAGCUUCCCUCAGUGCUGGGAUGUUAGGUGUGCUCCACCAUCCCCAGCGCAGGCGGUCUUUAUUCACUAACGAAUAUUAAUUGUUUAAUAGAUGACACAUGGGGAUGUGAGGCUUGUGUUCUUGUGGGGACUUGAAAAAACUAUAAGUAAACAAGAAGAAAGCAGGCCAAGGGGGACAGCGAGAAGGGCUGCUCUUUUACAUAGAGAGGCCAAGGAAACUUAGAGUGAGUUGUAGAGGCAGAAGAUAGAGCAGCAAACAUGGUAUAGCCCUUGCCCUUGGAAGGGCCAGGGAUUUAGCUCAGUGGUUCCGUCGCCUUCCUCACAAGCGCAAGGGCCCGAGUUCGAUACCCGGUACCAGAACAAAACAACCCAAC